rnacentral:rRNA from 1 species
AAUGAACGUUGGCGGCGUGGAUUAGGCAUGCAAGUCGCGCGUGUACCAGCAAUGGGGAAGCGGCGAAAGGGACAGUAAUGUGUAGAUACCUGCCCUCGGGACCGGGAUAGCUGCGGGAAACUGCAGGUAAUACCGGAUGACGUCUCCGGACCAAAGGCGUGAUUCCGCCGGAGGAUGGGUCUACAUCCUAUUAGCUAGUUGGUGAGGUAAUGGCUCACCAAGGCCACGAUGGGUAGCAGGUGUGAGAGCACGACCUGCGUCAUUGGGACUGAGACACUGCCCAGACACCUACGGGUGGCUGCAGUCGAGAAUCUUCGGCAAUGGGCGAAAGCCUGACCGAGCGACGCCGCGUGCGGGAUGAAGGCCUUCGGGUUGUAAACCGCUGUCAGUGGGGAGGAAGGCUCCGUGCAGAGCGGGGUUUGACCUAUCCGCAGAGGAAGCAAGGGCUAAGUUCGUGCCAGCCGCCGCUGUAAAAC